CGCAAGCCUGACGGAGCAAGACCGCGUGCGGGAUGACGGCCUAAUGGUUGUAAACCGCUUUUCUCUGGGAAGAUGAUGACGGUACCAGAGGAAUCAGCCUCGGCUAACUCCGUGCCAGCAGCCGCGGUAAUACGGAGGAGGCAAGCGUUAUCCGGAAUUAUUGGGCGUAAAGCGUCCGUAGGUGGUUAUUCAAGUCUGCUGUCAAAGCGUGGGGCUUAACUCCAUAGAGGCAGUGGAAACCGGAUGACUUGAGUGCGGUAGGGGUCGAGGGAAUUCCCAGUGUAGCGGUGAAAUGCGUAGAGAUUGGGAAGAACACCGGUGGCGAAAGCGCUCUACUGGGUCGCACCUGACCCUCAGGGACGAAAGCUAAGGUAGCG
rnacentral:rRNA from 1 species